GGCUAAUGCUGGCGGCGUGUCUUAGCCAUGCAAGUCGAGCGGACUUAUGGGGUAACUUAUAAGUCAGCGGCGGACGGCGGAGUAACACGUAGCUAACCUACCCUCUGGACGGGGAUAACCUACCGAAAGGUGGGCUAAUACCCGAUGUAGUCAUCCUGUAUAGGGGUGAUGAAAGGUGGGCUUCUGUUUACAAGCUCAUGCUGGAGGAGGGGGCUGCGGCCUAUCAGGUAGUUGGUAGGGUAAUAGCCUACCAAGCCGAUGACGGGUAGCCGGCCUGAGAGGGUGACCGGCCCGAGGGGCACUGAGAUACGGGUCCCACUCCUACGGGAGGCAGCAGGCUAGAAAUUUGGGCAAUGGGGGAAACCCUGACCCAGUGACGCCGCGUGCAGGAAGGAGCCCUUCGGGGUGUAAACUGCUGUCGUGUAGGGAGAAGGGCACUAAGGUGAACAAUCUUAGUACUUGACGGUACUACAGGAGGAAGCCCAGGCUAACCUCGUGCCAGCAGCCGCGGUAAAG
rnacentral:rRNA from 1 species